rnacentral:rRNA from 1 species
AAUCAACGCUGGCGGCGUGCCUAACACAUGCAAGUCGAACGAGAAAGUGGGGGCAACCCCAUGAGUACAGUGGCAGACGGGUGAGUAACACGUGAACAACCUACCCUCGAGUGUGGAAUAACACCGCGAAAGCGGUGCUAAUACCGCAUAAUAUUUUCGGGUCGCAUGACCUGAAGAUCAAAAGCGCAAGUUGCUUGAGGAGGGGUUCGCGCCUGAUUAGCUAGUUGGUGAGGUAACGGCCCACCAAGGCUCCGAUCAGUAGCCGGCCUGAGAGGGCGAACGGCCACACUGGAACUGAGACACGGUCCAGACUCCUACGGGUGGCUG